UUUGUAUAACUUCAAACGGUCGGAUUAUUUAAGGAAGGACAUAACCAAAAAAUCGUGGCAUGAAAUAUCAAAAGAAACCAAGUUUUCUGAUCAAGAAUGCAAAGAGAGGUGGAAAACCAGCCCCGAGUGGUUCCUCGGCAAAGUCAAAGAAACCAUACUACCUUCAUGAUUAUUUGCUAUUUAUUCUGCCCUAUGUCAAACUAAUAAAUACAAAUGAGUCACCAGGAAAUAUUGAAGGCCCACCAAAUCCUUCAGAAAGUCAAGUCGCUUUGCAAGUGGAUGAGACUGCCGCAAAUAACCAUGAAGAUGAAGAAUCACCUGCACCAUCAGAAGUGUUAUUUAAUAAUAACUCCGAGAGAGAAGAUUCUGUCCCUAUUACUUCAAAGUCGACGAAGAACCCACAGUACAACACAAUAGGGAAAAAGAACAUGUACAAUAAUUUGGACAAAUCAUUUUUGGAGUAUUUGUCGAAUAAGAAAAAAAAGCUUGCCCCCUACUGAUGAUAAUAAAACUGCUAGAAAAUA